rnacentral:rRNA from 1 species
UGAAUUUAAGCAUAUUAAUGAGGGGAGGAAAAGAAACUAACAAGGAUUUUCUUAGUAGCGGCGAGCGAAAAGAAAAUAGUUCAGCACUAAGUCACUUUGUCUUUAUGGCAAAUGUGAGAUGCAGUGUAUGGAAUGUCAAAUUUCUAAUAUGAGAAAUUAACGAUUUAAGUCCUUCUUAAAUGAGGCCAUUUACCCAAAGAGGGUGCCAGGCCCGUAUAACGUUAAUGAUUAUUAGAUGGCAUUUCCAAAGAGUCGUGUUGCUUGAUAGUGCAGCACUAAGUGGGUGGUAAACUCCAUCUAAAACUAAAUAUAACCAUGAGACCGAUAGUAAACAAGUACCGUGAGGGAAAGUUGAAAAGAACUCUGAAUAGAGAGUUAAAUAGUACGUGAAACUGCUUAGAGGUUAAGCCCGAUGAACCUGAAUAUCCGUUAUGGAAAAUUCAUCAUUAUGAUUUUAAUAUUUAUAAUAUUAUAAUAAUGGUGUGCAUUUUUUCUAUAAAGGACAUUGUAAUCUAUUAACAGUUUAUUCAAAUUAUUUUGCUUGCAUUUUAAUAUCGAAUAAAUGCUUUUGAUUUGAUAAAGUGUUGAUAGAUUUAUUAUAUACAGUGCUUAAAUAUUUAUAUUUUAUAAUAGCAUAUUAAUCAAUGAUUUUUAUGUUCAUUAUAUGCACUUGUAUGAUUAACAAUGCGAAAGAUUCAGGAUACCUUCGGGACCCGUCUUGAAACACGGACCAAGGAGUCUAACAUAUUUGCAAGUUAUUGGGAAUAAAAACCUAAUAGCGAAAUUAACAUAACUUUUAAUGGGAUUAGUUUUUAGCCUAUUUAGUCUAUUAAUUCAAUCCCGGGGCGUUCUAUACAGUUAUGUAUAAUAAUAUUUAUAUUAUUUAUACCUCUAACUAGAGCGUACCUUGAGCAUAUAUGCUGUGACCCGAAAGAUGGUGAACUAUACUUGAUCAGGUUGAAGUCAGGGGAAACCCUGAUGGAAGACCGAAACAGUUCUGACGUGCAAAUCGAUUGUCAGAAUUGAGUAUAGGGGCGAAAGACCAAUCGAACCAUCUAGUAGCUGGUUCCCUCCGAAGUUUCCCUCAGGAUAGCUGGUGCAUUUAAAAAUUAUGUAAAAUAAUCUUAUCUGGUAAAGCGAAUGAUUAGAGGCCUUAGGGUCGAAACGAUCUUAACCUAUUCUCAAACUUUAAAUGGGUAAGAACCUCACCUUUCUUGGUAUGAAGGUUGUGGUUGUGAUAUAAUGUGCCCAGUGGGCCACUUUUGGUAAGCAGAACUGGCGCUGUGGGAUGAACCAAACGUAAUGUUACGGUGCCCAAAUUAACAACUCAUGCAGAUACCAUGAAAGGCGUUGGUUGCUUAAAACAGCAGGACGGUGGACAUGGAAGUCGUAAUCCGCUAAGGAGUGUGUAAAGGUGUGAACAGUGGUUGAUCACGAGUUAGUCGGUCCUAAGUUUAAGGCGAAAGCCGAAAAUUUUCAAGUUAUAAUGAAAAAUAAUUAAACACUUGAAUAAUUUUGAACGAAAGGGAAUACGGUUCCAAUUCCGUAACCUGUUGAGUAUCCGUUUGUUAUUAAAUAUGGGCCUUGUGCUCAUCCUGGCAACAGGAACGACCAUAAAGAAGCCGUCGAGAGGUAUCGGAAGAGUUUUCUUUUCUGUUUUAUAGUCGUACUACCAUGGAAGUCUUUCGAAGAGAGAUAUGGUAGAUGGACUAGAAGAGCAUGACAUUUACUGUUGUGUCGAUAUUUUCUCCUCGGACCUUGAAAAUUUAUGGUGGGGUCACGCAAACUUCUCAACAGGCCGUACCAAUAUCCGCAGCUGGUCUCCAAGGA